UACAGAGGGUGCGAGCGUUAAUCGGAAUUACUGGGCGUAAAGCGUGCGUAGACGGUUUCGUAAGUCGGGUGUGAAAUCCCCGGGCUCAACCUGGGAAUUGCAUUCGAAACUGCGAGGCUAGGGUACGGAAGAGGGAAGCGGAGUUUCUGGUGUAGCGGUGAAAUGCGUAGAUAUCAGAAGGAACAUCAGUGGCGAAAGCGGCUUCCUGGUCCAGUACCGACGUUCAGGCACGAAAGCGUGGGGAGCAAACAGG
rnacentral:rRNA from 1 species